rnacentral:rRNA from 1 species
GACAGAGGGUGCAAACGUUGUUCGGAAUUACUGGGCGUAAAGCGCGUGUAGGUGGCGAGGCAAGUCGGGUGUGAAAGCCCUGGGCUCAACCCAGGAAGUGCACUCGAUACUGCCUAGCUAGAGUCCCGGAGAGGUUGGUGGAACUCUCGGUGUAGAGGUGAAAUUCGUUAGAUAUCGAGAAGAACACCGGUGGCGAAGGCGGCCAACUGGACGGUGACUGACACUGAGACGCGAAAGCGUGGGGAGCAAACAGG